CGAUCGAACCAACGCUAGUCACAAACACACGAUUCCGCCCAUUCUAGAGUGGACUGGACAUAAACAUGCUCGCACAUCUACUUGUCGGCUGCGUUUUGUCUGCCGGUAGCGAGGUGAUUCUUUAAGAGCUCUGAGAACCCAAACUUGUGGCCGCCCCGCAGCUGAGCCGAAGUGGAGCUGGGAGCUGCCCAGACGACCUGAGGCUGCCAGCUGACCACCUUCCUCCCUACAGAUCGCUGGAGCCAAGCUCAGCGGGGGAGAAGCCACGCUCGCGGGUGGGUGCCGGGGCUAAGGGCGGAAGCCGGGUUCCCACAGAGGCCUCCGCGCCCAGGCGGCUGCAGCGGCGGCGCCGGGGGACCGGAGGCCUGACACCGGGAUGCGCCCCCCACUCUGGACAACCGGCCGCAGAAGUAAAGGGCCAGCAUCCCGCCACAGCUAUGCUUCCCGCGGGACAAUCUCGGGAGAAGGUCCUGGAAGAGGCUCGCAGGCCGGUUUUCCGAGGGAAACGGCGAGGUGGGGAGGGAGCGCCCAUGACCCUCCCCGCCCUCCCCUCUCCCGCUCACCCGGCCGCACAGGCGACAGGACUGUUCCGAAGAAACGUACUCGGGGUUGUAGUGUCGCCCUCCGCCACACGGGGCUGGAUCACCUGCUGGCUCGGCGGCAUCGGUCCGGGCUCCUCUCUUGGUGGAGGCAGGCGGAGGCGCGCCUGCGGCGUCCUCUUUCAUUGGCCGCGGCGAGGGCGCUGCCAUGUUGGAGGAAGCGGUGCCUUCUGUGAGGUGGAAACGCCGUGGCUUCACCCAUAGCGUUGGGGAGCGCAGCCUCCUACCUUUCCUUCUCGCUGGAGUGUUGGUGCUGAGAGGCGGCGGCCGGCGGGAUGGAGAGAAGUAGGAUGAACCUGCCCAAGGGGCCGGACACGCUCUGCUUCGACAAGGACGAGUUCAUGAAGAGAUCACAAGUAGGAAGAGAGGCAGGCAGAGAGAGAGGAGGAAACAGGCUCCCUGCUGAGGAGAGAACCUGAUGUGGGGCUCGAUCCCAGGACCCUGGAAUCAUGACCUGAGCCAAAGGCAGAGGCCUUAACUCACUGAGCUACCCAGGAAGAUUUUGACGUCGAUCACUUUGUGUCUGACUAUAGGAAGCAUGUCCAGCUGGAGGAACUAAGAGGAGAUCUGGAACUCUACUAUAAACUUCUUAAAAUAGCCAUGGUGGAGCUCAUCAACAAGGAUUAUGCAGAUUUUGUCAACCUUUCCACAAACUUGAUGUGUGUGUUGAGGCUUAUACAAGUUAUUUGAUCAGUUGAAAAGAUUGAAAAAAUCUUAAAUUCACAAAGUUCUAAAGAAACCUCUGCACUAGAAGCAAGCAGCCCGUAGCACUCGUGCUUCUGCCCCCGUUCGUCCACACUUAGCAGACAGUCUGUACGCGGCCCUUCUGCAGCCCGUGUGUCUCCAGCGGCUCUGCUUCGCUGCGGCCCUUGGCAGCGCCUGCAGCCCCUCCAGCCAUGUCCACGUUCGGCCCCUGGGGAGCUGGCCCUCCAGUGUUCUUCCCGUCUUUGCUGUUGCUGCUGUGCUCCUCGGAUAGAAACACCUCGGUGAGCUCUGUGUCUACAAUCCUGUCCCUUUGCAACACUGUCCUUGAUAAACAGACAUUGUGCGCUUUCUUGCUCAGAAUUACCUUGGAGGACUUUUUUCUCCAGAAGAGCAGCUCUGAGCUCUAGAGUCAGGAAAGCCAGAGCAGCGUCAGCGCACGGCAAAUCCAUCAUGCUCUGCCAGGCCCAGAAAUGCUGAGAUAAGGAUAAAUAGGAAAUGCGCAUGGGAUCAAUCAGUAGAGGUUGGGAUUAGGCUUCGGCUUUGGUCAUGCCGAGCGCUUGCCUUCCCUCCACACCAGUUCUGAUGCUCUGGGACGGGGCACACCGUGGCAGGUCUCCAGACAUUUUGGGUUUCCUUACAGUGUGUUUCCUCACUACCUGACUGCCCAUCCUCAGAUGUGGGAUGCCUCAUAGAGCCCAGCAGGGGCUUUGGGGCCUUUGUUGUGUUUUGUUUUGUUUUUUUUUUCUUUCACUGUUCAGCUUCUUUUUGAAUGGGGUUGACGCUUUCUAAUGUGGGGGGCAAGAGGGAAGUGUAUCCAGUCCACUUGAUGGCAGAUGCACUGUGAGUGAUUUCUCACCAGCUCCCGGAGCACCGAGCUUGCUCUUUCUGCCGUUGGGUAAAUGUAAACUUGGAGUCCGCUGCUCUGAGCGAUUUCCCAGGUUGCUGCUAGGCGGUCAGUUUUAGCUGAUUGAGGAGACAGCAGUAGUUAGUACUGGGGAGGUACUUGGGAGGAAGAAUGAGGCAGGCGGAGAAGAAGAGGGGGAUGCGGGUAUGAACGGUAGGACAGGGCAAGAGAGAGGAGGGGUUUAGAGAAUGGGAAAAGAAGGGAGAAGAAGGGCACGAAUGGGAGAGCCCGAGGAACGUGGUGGAAACAUGCAGUUGUACCCUCACUGACCUAAAAUAGCUCCAUCCCCUUGC